GGCGUGCCUAACACAUGCAAGUCGAGCGGGGAAACCUCCUUUUGGAGGUAGUACCAGCGGCGGACGGGUGAGUAACGCGUGGCUAACCUACCCUCUGGUGGGGGAUAACUGGGGGAAACCUCAGCUAAUACCCCAUAAGUUCACUGUACGGUAAGUACAGUGAAGAAAGCAGCAAUAGCUGUGCCAGAGGAGGGGGCCGCGUCCCAUCAGGUAGUUGGUGGGGUAAUGGCCCACCAAGCCUACGACGGGUAGCCGGCGUGAGAGCGUGGCCGGCCACACCGGGACUGAGACACGGCCCGGACUCCUACGGGAGGCAGCAGUGGGGAAUAUUGGACAAUGGGGGAAACCCUGAUCCAGCGACGCCGCGUGCGGGAAGAAGCCCUUCGGGGUGUAAACCGCUGUUGCAGGGGACGAAUAAAGGGAGGAGUGGAAAGUCUCUCUGAUGACGGUACCCUGCGAGGAAGCCCCGGCUAACUACGUGCCAGCAGCCGCGGUAAUACGUAGGGGGCGAGCGUUACCCGGAAUUACUGGGCGUAAAGGGGGCGUAGGCGGCCAGGCAAGUCGGGUGUGAAAUCCCACGGCUCAACCGUGGGGCUGCGCUCGAAACUGCUUGGCUUGAGGGUGGUAGAGGGAGACGGAAUUGCCGGUGUAGGGGUGAAAUCCGUAGAUAUCGGCAAGAACGCCGGUGGGGAAGCCGGUCUCCUGGGCCAUCCCUGACGCUGAGGCCCGAAAGCUGGGGGAGCGAACCGGAUUAGAUACCCGGGUAGUCCCAGCUGUAAACGAUGCUCACUAGGUGUGGGGGAGUAAAUUCCUCCGUGCUGAAGCUAACGCGUUAAGUGAGCCGCCUGGGGAGUACGCCCGCAAGGGUGAAACUCAAAGGAAUUGACGGGGGCCCGCACAAGCGGUGGAGCGCGUGGUUUAAUUGGAUGCUGAGCCAAGAACCUUACCAGGGCUUGACAUGCCGGUGGUACCACUGCCGAAAGGCGGGGGACCCAUACCUUUAUAGGUAUGGGAGCUGGCACAGGUGGUGCACGGCCGUCGUCAGCUCGUGCCGUGAGGUGUUGGGUUAAGUCCCGCAACGAGCGCAACCCCUGCCCUUAGUUGCCAUAGGCGGAAUGCCUGGCACUCUAAGGGGACUGCCGCCGACGAGGCGGAGGAAGGGGGGGAUGACGUCAGGUAAUCGUGCCCCUUAUGCCCUGGGCGACACACGCGCUACAAUGGGGUGGACAGCGGGAAGCGACCCUGUGAAGGGAAGCCAAUCCCUGAAACCACCUCGAAGUUCGGAUCGCAGGCUGCAACUCGCCUGCGUGAAGUCGGAAUCGCUAGUAAUCGCGGAUCAGCCAUGCCGCGGUGAAUACGUUCCCGGGCCUUGUACACACCGCCCGUCACGCCACCCGAGCUGGGGGCUCCCGAAGGCGUUCUACCCAACCCGAAAGGGAGGGAGAGCGCUGAGGGAGAAACUGGUAAGGGGGGCGAAGUCGUAACAAGGUAGCCG
rnacentral:rRNA from 1 species